rnacentral:ncRNA from 1 species
GAAAGGUUCCAUGUGAACAGCGGUUGGACAUGGGUUAGUCGAUCCUAAGCCAUAGGGAAGUUCCGUUUCAAAGGGGCACUUGUGCCCCGUAUGGCGAAAGGGAAGCCGGUCAAUAUUCCGGCACCUGGAUGUGGGUUUUGCGCGGCAACGCAACUGAACGCGGAGACGACGGCGGGGGCCCCGGGCAGAGUUCUCUUUUCUUCUUAACAGUCUAUCACCCUGAAAUCGGUUUGUCCGGAGCUAGGGUUUAACGGCUGGAAGAGCCCAGCACUUCUGUUGGGUCCGGUGCGCUCUCGACGUCCCUUGAAAAUCCGCGGGAAGGAAUAAUUCUCACGCCAUGACCUCUGAUUCCGCCACCGGUC